GGUUUCCCCUUGCUCUGCAAGGGCCGCGGCUUUUGUGGAGCGAUGGGUAACGAUGCUUCGUGGGUCCCUGGUUCGGGCCCGGGGCGAGGGGACGGACUAAAGUUAUACUGUUACACCGAUAGUCUCUUACACCGAUAGUCUCUUACACCGAUAGUCUCUGAUCGAAUGGCGACAAAAACGUUGUGUUUACUGGGUGGUAAGCCUUGCGAAAUGUUUGGUAAAUUGCCGCGUGCCGCUUAGGCAACCCACUGUGACCCGCUUGUGGGCGUGCUUGCGGCAUGUUCAGAGUGUGGCAAGAAUUCAGCAUCGCAAGUUCGUAUGAAGGUCUGGUUAUUAAAUGGGUAACGUUAAAUAGUUCAAUAGUAAUAAGCUCUAAAACGCUCUGGUGACAAACUUUGCUGCCCUGUUUCCAAUUGUCCACAUGGCUGGGAGAACCUACUCAAGUAAGUAAAUACAUUUCGAAAAUGUAAAAAAACAACAAUGUGCAGGCUAACUCAAAUGAGCUGCUAAAUGAGGUCGCUAGUUGGCUAGCUAGCUAUCUAGCCAAUUUUACAAACUGUAUAGAUAGGUAGCUGGUGAUAUUUAAUUCACUUAUCUAGCUAAUAUGAAGUUAGCUAGCUAUCCCGAUGUUUUUAUCGCUGUAAAAAAACUCCAAAUGCAUUUGUAGGUUGCUAGCUAACAGCCAUGGAGGAGGGUGAAAGGAUAGCAGCCCCAACUGUCAAAAUGAGUAGGCUAUUCUGGAUAGGGCAGGUACUUUUGUGUAGUUCCUGUCCCUAGAAGUGAGUACGGAGAUAAUAGUAAGAUAAUAUUCAGUGUGGUGUAAUUUGAGUAUAAUGAAGUCUGUUUCUUGUGAGGUUUUCUGUCCUCAGAUAAAGAUAGCUAUUAAAGCCUGCCUACAGAUGAAGAGGUCCCAAUGAAGAGUGUGUUGUGCAGGCUCAGGUGUAUAACUGGCGCCUCACACCUUCAAAGAAUAGUUAUAUCAGCUGUGUUGGUGAACCCCUCCCGCAUCUGAACUGGCUACAUAGAGGGCACAGCAUGAUCAGAGGUUUCCAUGUCUUCUCCCUGGAUCUCCUCAAUGUCCACCUCUUGAACAUCAGACUCUGAGGCCUCAUCUUCACUGUCACUUUCCAACCUUGUUGAGGAUGGCUCGUUGUCAGGCUCAAAAAACCUCAAAUUUGCCCGGAUGGACACCAAUUCUUCAACCCUUGUAUUGGUCAGCCUGUUGCGUGCUUUGGUGUGUGUGUUCCCAAACAAGGACCAAUUGCGCUUUGAGGCGGCUGAUGUUGGUGGGAUUUGGAGGAUGAUGGAGGCAACAGGGGAAAUAGCCUCAGAUCCACAAAGUCCCUUCCACCAGGUGGCUGAUGUUGGCACGACUGCCAUAUUGCAUCUCCAUCCCAAAGCCAUGGCUUGGAAGUGUACUUCGCCAGACUGCCAAGCACCUUUCCCUCAUCCAGGCCAAGGUGGCGAGACAUGGUAGUGAUGAUCCAUAGGGUUUGUUGAUCUCUGCACCUGACAGGAUGCUCUUGCCAGCAUACUUGGGGUCCAACAUGUACGCUGCGACGUGUAUGGGCUUCAGGCAGAAGUCUUCACGCUUUUUGAUAUAUUUCAGAACUGCAGUUUCCUCUGCUUGGAGCAACAGUGAAGUGGGCAGGGCAGUACGGAUUUCUUCUCUUACAUCUAUCUGCAAGCAGAGUCUGAACAUCAGACAGGAUGGCAUUGUCUCCUUCAAUCCGUGCAAUGGCUACUGCUAUAGGUUUCAGGAGUUUCAGGCUGCUUACCACUCUCUCCCAAAAUACAUAAUCCAGACUGACAUGGCCAUUUCUUGGAGAGACUCCUAGGCUACUAUUUACUAGUUAACAAAAUAUAAUGUAUGUCAUAUCAAAUAUAUUCACCCCACCCAGUAUUGUAAUCAAAACUUACAGGAAAGCAAGUAGUCCUUGGCUCAGACAGUGUAGUAGUGUGGGCUCAAUAGCAUUCCAUUAGUGUGCAAGAUCUUGAGAAUCAGCUGUACAUGUGAUGGAAGAAUGCACUGUGCAUGCAGAGGGUUGCAAUUCCAUUGAAUUAUGGAUAGUUUAACCAAAAUAUGCCACAAGACCUAGAAUUGCCUUAUGUGUAUACCAUAAAAAGACUCACUGUUAUAAGCUAAUGUUUUAGAUGAAUUUAAGCAAAAUUCCCCAAAUUCCAGGGUUUAACUUCCCAUGGAAAAUUUCCAGAACAAUUCCGGAAAUGUAUCGGAAAGUUUCAGACGCUUUGCAACCGUUGUGUCUAUGGGUAUUGGAACGGUUUAAAGUCCAGAUUAAACUGUACUUUCACCAUGUACACUACCGGUCAAAAGUUUUUGAACACCUACUCAUUCAAGGGUUUUUCUUUAUUUUUACUAUUUUCUACAUUGUAGAAUAAUAGUGAAGACAUCAAAACUAUGAAA